GCGGAAGUGGCUCAGUGGUAGAGCAUCACCUUGCCAAGGUGAGGGUCGCGGGUUCGAAUCCCGUCUUCCGCUCGA
rnacentral:tRNA from 4 species